GUGGAUGCCCUGGCAGUCAGAGGCGAUGAAGGACGUGCUAAUCUGCGAUAAGCGUCGGUAAGGUGAUAUGAACCGUUAUAACCGGCGAUUUCCGAAUGGGGAAACCCAGUGUGAUUCGUCACACUAUCAUUACGUGAAUACAUAGCGUAAUGAAGCGAACCGGGGGAACUGAAACAUCUAAGUACCCCGAGGAAAAGAAAUCAACCGAGAUUCCCCCAGUAGCGGCGAGCGAACGGGGAGGAGCCCAGAGCCUGAAUCAGCAUGUGUGUUAGUGGAAGCGUCUGGAAAGGCGCGCGAUACAGGGUGACAGCCCCGUACACAAAAGCGCAUAUGCUGUGAGCUCGAUGAGUAGGGCGGGACACGUGGUAUCCUGUCUGAAUAUGGGGGGACCAUCCUCCAAGGCUAAAUACUCCUGACUGACCGAUAGUGAACCAGUACCGUGAGGGAAAGGCGAAAAGAACCCCGGCGAGGGGAGUGAAAAAGAACCUGAAACCGUGUACGUACAAGCAGUGGGAGCCCCACCACCAAAGCAUUCUCUGGUGUUGAAGGCCCUGCAAAGCAGCAUCGCGGUGGCGGAGCGUCGUUUGCGACGCCCAACACACAAAACAAGCGGUGAGUGCUUUGGGGUGGGGUGACUGCGUACCUUUUGUAUAAUGGGUCAGCGACUUAUAUUCUGUAGCAAGGUUAACCG
rnacentral:rRNA from 1 species